UACAGAGGGUGCAAGCGUUGUUCGGAAUUAUUGGGCGUAAAGCGCGUGUAGGCGGCUUUGCAAGUCGGGUGUGAAAGCCCUCAGCUUAACUGAGGAAGUGCGCCCGAAACUGCAUGGCUUGAGUACCGGAGAGGAUGGCGGAAUUCCCCAAGUAGAGGUGAAAUUCGUAGAUAUGGGGAGGAACACCGGUGGCGAAGGCGGCCAUCUGGACGGAUACUGACGCUGAGACGCGAAAGCGUGGGUAGCAAACAGG
rnacentral:rRNA from 1 species